AUAAAUAAAAUUUUAUGAUUUAUGAAAUUUAAUUUAAAUUUAUUUUACAUGUAAAUUUUAGUGUUAAUUUUUAAUUAUUUUAAUAAUAAUUAUUAAUAUUUGCAGUAAUUAAAAUUAAAAAUUUAAGAAAUUAAGAUUUAGUAAUAUUUAAUUUUAUUAACAAAUUUUGUGCCAGCAGUUGCGGUUAUACAAAAAAUAAUUUAAAUUUUAUCAGUAUAUAAUUAUUAAAAAUAUUAUUAAAUUAAAUAUUAAAUUAUUAAGUGAAAUUUUAAUUUAAUUAAAAUUUAUAUUAAUUUUAUGAUUUAUUAAAUUUUAUAAAAAACUAGGAUUAGAUACCCUAUUAUUAAAAAUUAAAUUUAUAAUACUAAAAUAGUAGAUAAUAAUUUAUUGAAACUUAAAUAAUUUGGCGGUAUUUUAGUUCAUUUAGAGGAAUCUGUUUAAUAAUUGAUAAUCCACGAAUAAAUUUACUUAAUUUGUUAUUUUGUAUAUCGUUGUUAAAAAAAUAUUUUUUAUUAAAAAUAAUAUUUUAAAAUUUUUAUAUAAAAUUAAUUCAGAUCAAGAUGCAGAUUAUAAUUAAGAAUAUAAUGGAUUACAAUAAAUAAAUUUAAAUGAAUAAUAUUUUUUAAUAAAUAUUUGAAGGUGGAUUUAAAUGUAAUUUUAAUUAGUUUAUUAAAAUGAUUAUAUAUUAAAAUAUGUACAUAUUGCCCGUCGCUUUCAUUAAUAAAUUGGAAUAAGUCGUAACAAAGUAGAGGUACUGGAAAGUGUUUCUAGAAAGAA
rnacentral:ncRNA from 1 species